rnacentral:lncRNA from 1 species
AGAGAGAAAUUUUCGUAUCCUUUCGAUGAGGCACUCAUGAUCGAGAUCAUCAGAGAUCCUAUCAGGGUGACUCAAUAUGAAUCAAGUGUUACAAAUUUCGAAUAGGAUCGAACUGGGAUCAGAUCUACCGCACGAAUUUCGAAGCAAUCUCGGAUCAUCUUAUUUUCAUCUCAAAUUUAUCCUAGAGUCCGUGAUGUAAUCAGAGAGAGAGU